rnacentral:rRNA from 1 species
AACUUAAGCAUAUCAAUAAGCGGAGGAAAAGAAACUAACAAGGAUUCCCCUAGUAACGGCGAGUGAAGCGGGAAGAGCUCAAAUUUGUAAUCUGACAUCUUUGAUGUCCGAGUUGUAAUCUCGAGAAGUAUUUUCCGCGUCGGACCACAUUCAAGUCUGUUGGAAUACAGCGUCAUAGUGGUGAGAGCCCCGUACAUAAUGUGGAUGCCCGUUGCUUUGUGAUAUACUUUCGAAGAGUCGAGUUGUUUGGGAAUGCAGCUCAAAUUGGGUGGUAAAUUCCAUCUAAAGCUAAAUAUUGGCGAGAGACCGAUAGCGAACAAGUACCGUGAGGGAAAGAUGAAAAGCACUUUGGAAAGAGGGUUAACAGUACGUGAAAUUGUUGGAAGGGAAACGCUUGAAGUCAGACUUGCUAUUCGGGAUUUAUUUCGAUUUGCAGGCCAGCAUCAGUUUUUGGGGGUGAAAAAGGGUUAGAAGAAGGUGGCAGCUUAGGCUGUGUUAUAGCUUUUAACUGGAUUCAUCCUUGGGGACUGAGGAAUGCAGCACGCUUUUUGCAAGGCUUUCGAGCCUUUCGUGCUUAGGAUGCUGGUUAAGUGGC